UGUGGUGGGAUUAUAGAUGAGGGGACACAGGUUAACUGGUCAGUGUGGUGGGAUUAUAGAUGAGGGGACACAGGUUAACUGGUCAGUGUGGUGGGAUUAUAGAUGAGGGGACACAGGUUAACUGGUCAGUGUAGUGGGAUUAUAGAUGAGGGGACACAGGUUAACUGGUCAGUGUAGUGGGAUUAUAGAUGAGGGGACACAGGUUAACUGGUCAGUGUAGUGGGAUUAUAGAUGAGGGGACACAGGUUAACUGGUCAGUCUAGUGGGAUUAUAGAUGAGGGGACACAGGUUAACUGGUCAGUCUAGUGGGAUUAUAGAUGAGGGGACACAGGUUAACUGGUCAGUGUAGUGGGAUUAUAGAUGAGGGGACACAGGUUAACUGGUCAGUGUAGUGGGAUUAUAGAUGAGGGGACACAGGUUAACUGGUCAGUGUAGUGGGAUUAUACGUCAGGGGACACAGGUUAACUGGUCAGUGUGGUGGGAUUAUAGAUGAGGGGACACAGGUUAACUGGUCAGUGUAGUGGGAUUAUAGAUGAGGGGACACAGGUUAACUGGUCAGUGUAGUGGGAUUAUAGAUGAGGGGACACAGGUUAACUGGUCAGUGUAGUGGGAUUAUAGAUGAGGGGACACAGGUUAACUGGUCAGUGUAGUGGGAUUAUAGAUGAGGGGACACAGGUUAACUGGUCAGUGUAGUGGGAUUAUAGAUGAGGGGACACAGGUUAACUGGUCAGUGUAGUGGGAUUAUAGAUGAGGGGACACAGGUUAACUGGUCAGUGUAGUGGGAUUAUAGAUGAGGGGACACAGGUUAACUGGUCAGUGUAGUGGGAUUAUA